GGGGAGGACAAUAGGGUCCCCCCCUUAUUGUUAUUUAUGGCCCCCUGAGUGGUGGGUGGGGGCCAUAAAUAACAAUAAGGGAGGGACCUAUUGUCCUCCCCCCGGCCCCCACC